rnacentral:lncRNA from 1 species
AUCAUUUUAAACCAAUUUUUCACCAUUUUUUUACCAUUUUUAACCAAUUCUUCACCAUUUUUAACCCAAUUUUUAACCAGUUUUUACCAUUUUAAACCAAUUCACCAUUUUUAACCCAAUUUUUAACCCAAUUUUUCACCAUUUUUUAACCAUUUUUUUUACCAUUUUUAACCAAUUUUUCACCAUUUUCAACCCAAUUUUUAACCAUUUUUCACCGAUUUUCACCAUUUUUAACCAUUUUCCACCAUUUUUUAACCAAUUUUCACCAUUUUUUGAGCAUUUUCAACCACUUUUGACCAGUUUUAACCAUUUUUUCACCGAUUUUCACCAUUUUUGAACCAUUUUUAACCCUUUUUUACCAUUUUUGGACCAUUUUUAACCAUUUUUAACCAGUUUUUGGACCAUUUUUAACCAUUUUCCACCAUUUUUAACCAUUUUUAACCAUUUUCCACCGCUUUUCCCUCGUUUUUUCUCAUUUUUCCACCAUUUCCGAGCACUCUGGGUUUCAUUUUUAACCAUUUUGGGCUUUUUUUCACCCAUUUUUUCACCAUUUCCAAGCACAGCGACACCAAAAUUUCCAUCGACUCCGAACCUUCCCAAAGUUCCAAAUCCGCCGGAUUUUGCCCCAAAAUUCAUUUUUGUAUUUGAACCUUUUGGAACCUUUUUCACCUCAAAACUCACCGCUUUUAUUCCGGCCUUUUGCCCACUUUUUUCCCUUUUUUCCCCAAAUUUUUUCCAUUUUUUUCCAUUUUUUUUCCCAUUUUUUUCCAUUUUUUACCCAAAUUUUUCCCAUUUUUUUUCCAUUUUUUUUCUUAUUUUUAUUCCAUUUCUUACCCAUUUUUUCCCUUUUUUUCCUUUUUUUCCCUUUUUUCCCAGUUUUUUCCAUUUUUUCCCCAAAUUUUUUCCAUUUUUUUCAAAUUUUUUUUCCCAUUUCUUUCCCAUUUUUUCCCUUUUUUCCCAUUUUUUCCCCAAAUUUUUUCCCCAAAUUUUUUUCCCAUUUUUUUCCCAUUUUUUUUCCCAUUUCUUUCCCAUUUUUUCCCUUUUUUCCCUUUUUUCCAUUUUUUCCCUUUUUCUCCAUUUUUUUCCUUUCUUUCUUAAAUUUUUUCCAUUUUUUUCCCGUUUUUUUUUCAUUUUUUCCCAAAUUUUUUCCAUUUUCCCCCAUUUUUCCCAUUUUUUUCCUUUUUUCCCAUUUUUUAUUUUUUUUUAAAUUUUUAUCCCUUUUUUUUCCAUGUUUUUUAAUUUUUUUCCAUACUUUUUCCAUUUUUUACUUUUUCCCAAAUUUUUUCCAUUCUUUUCCCAUUUUUUCCCUUUUUUUCCCGUAUUUUUUCCAUUUUUUUCCAAAUUUUUUCCCCAUUUUUUUCCCUUUUUUCCCAAAUUUUUUUCAUAUUUUUCCAUUUUUCCCAAUUUUUCCAUUUUUCCCCUCAAUUCCUCCCUUUCCCUCCCAAUUUUUCCCUAUUUUUUCCCCAUUUUUCCCCACACUUCACCUUUUCCAUCAUUUUUCCCUAAAUUCCAUUUUUUCCAGGGUUUUUUUUCCCUUUCAUUUCAUUUUUUCCACCGUUUUUCCCAAAUUCCGCUUUUUUCUCCCCAUUCUGGAGCCUCCAAAUUUCCCCUCCUCAAAAUUCCCAUUUUUUCCUCCCUUUUCCACCUUUUUCUUACCCAAAAUUCCAUUUUUUCCACCUCAAAAUCUUUUUUCUGCCUUUUUUCCCCC